UUCUGCUAAUCUUCUUCAAAAGGGUUUCAAACUAAUGGAGGAUUGACAGUGGCGUCGCCGAAGAACAUCAAGAGCACGCUUGGCAUUCGCUCUUCUCAUGUUAUCUUCCUGGGAUUAGUUUGAAAAUAGACCCCUUUCUUAUCUCCACGUUCAUGAGAUUUUCUCCCCACUACCUCACUUACCAUCCCAUCCUCCUACGCUUCUCCCUCUUCCCACCUCUCUUUGGCUUCUUGAUUUUUGGAUGAAGGCAAUCCUAAUGAGAAGGAACUAAGAGGAACCCAAUAAUUGAGAGGAGAAGAAAGAGGAAUUUGAACUGAUGUGAGUGAGUUUGAUAUGAAGCCCAUUAUUCAAGCCGAAGGUUUCCCAUCAUCACGCUCUUCUGUUUUUCCUGUUUCCUUUAAUCAAUUAAUCCAGUUUUCAUCAUCAAUGCCACUUGAGAGGUAAGAUAAUUCCUUCGCUGUUAUUUUAUCCAUUUUCUAUAAAUUUUUGUUCACACGUUGCUUUUGUCAAAAACUCAUUUUAGUUUGAAUAUAACAUUUAGUCGUUACACUACAUGUUUCUACAGUGCCUUCGAUUUCUUAU